AUCACCUGGUUAUAACCUGAGACAUUACCUUGGUUAUAACCUGGUUAUAACCUGAUUAUAACCUGAGACAUUACCUGGUUAUAACCUAAAACAUUACCUGGUUAUAUCCUGGUUAUAACUUGAGACAUUACUUGGUAAUAACCUGGUUAUAACCUGGAAAUAACCUGAGACAUUACCUAUUUAUAACCUGGUUAUAACCUGAGACAUUACCUGGUAAUAACCUGGUAAUAACCUGAGACAUUACCUGGUAAUUACCUGGUUAUAACCUUAGACAUUUCCUGGUAAUAACCUGGUUAUAACCUGGUAAUAACCUGGUUAUAAACUGGUAAUUACCUUGGUUAUAACCUGGUUAUACCCUGAGAAAUUACCUGGUUAUAACCUGGUUAUAACCUGAGACAUUACCUGGUAAUAACCUGGUAAUAACCUGAGACAUUACCAGAUAAUAACCUGGUAAUAACCUGGUUAUAACCUGGUAAUAACCUGGUUAUAACCUGAUAAUAACCUGGUUAUAACCUGGUAAUUACCUUGGUUAUAACCUGGUUAUACCCUGAG